GUGUUGUGGUUAAUAACCGCAGCAAUUGACGUUACCCGCAGAAGAAGCACCGGCUAACUCCGUGCCAGCAGCCGCGGUAAUACGGAGGGUGCAAGCGUUAAUCGGAAUUACUGGGCGUAAAGCGCACGCAGGCGGUCUGUCAAGUCGGAUGUGAAAUCCCCGGGCUCAACCUGGGAACUGCAUUCGAAACUGGCAGGCUAGAGUCUUGUAGAGGGGGGUAGAAUUCCAGGUGUAGCGGUGAAAUGCGUAGAGAUCUGGAGGAAUACCGGUGGCGAAGGCGGCCCCCUGGACAAAGACUGACGCUCAGGUGCGAAGCGUGGGGAGCAACAGGAUUAGAUACCCUGGUAGUCCACGCCUAAACGAUGUCGAUUUGGAGGUUGUGCCCUUGAGGCGUGCCYUCCGAGCUAACGCGUUAAAUCACCGCCUGGGAGUACGCCGCAGGUAAACUCAAUGAAUUACAGGGGCCCGCCAGCGUGGGAGCAUGUGGUAAUUCAUGCACCGAAAACCUACCUGGUCUUGACAUCCACACUUUCAAGAUGUUGUGCCCUUCGGAACUGGAGACGUGC
rnacentral:rRNA from 1 species